rnacentral:rRNA from 2 species
UUGACCUCGGAUCGGGUAGGGAUACCCGCUGAACUUAA